CAGUAGCCCGGGAAUACGUAGGGUGCAAGCGUUAAUCGGAAUUACUGGGCGUAAAGCGUGCGCAGGCGGUUAUAUAAGACAGAUGUGAAAUCCCCGGGCUCAACCUGGGAACUGCAUUUGUGACUGUAUAGCUAGAGUACGGCAGAGGGGGAUGGAAUUCCGCGUGUAGCAGUGAAAUGCGUAGAUAUGCGGAGGAACACCGAUGGCGAAGGCAAUCCCCUGGGCCUGUACUGACGCUCAUGCACGAAAGCGUGGGGAGCAAACAGGAUUAGAUACCCCAGUAGUCCCUGUCUCUUAUACA
rnacentral:rRNA from 1 species